GAACAAAGGUAGACAUCUUCCCUUGCGGAGUGGGAGUUGAUAAUAUUGUUAUUCUAUCUCUACUCUUUGCUGAGCCAGAACACUAGUGACUUGAGCUAUAACACCAUUCCAGAGGAUAAGGAUAGGUGCUUCGUAUGUUUUUUUUUUUUUUUCUCUCUCUACUUAUUAUUAUUAUUAUUAUUUUUUUUUUUUUCAUGAUUCUAGUUCAAAUAACAAAAGAAAAACGACUAAAAGAAUACUACCGUAGGAUCUUUCCCUUUAAGAAAAGGUACUUUAUUUUUCUUAAAUAUAUGCUUCCAAAUUAUAGGUGCUUAUACUUCAGUACGUGUUUUAUGGAGAGAAAUAUCUACCUAGUAAUCUUUUUCAUAAUUUUCUAGUGAAAUACACCAUCUGGCAACAUAGCGUCACCACGAGAGCAAGGAGAACAGCUGAACCUCCCUCUCUGCUCCCGUCGCCGCUGCAGGCGAGACGAUGGUCUACACGUGCUGCAGUCAUACAUCCUCUUCGUGCAUUCCCCGAGCAUCACCUGCCCUAUAGUACACCAUGAUGGGCUCCUAGUACACCUAGGCUCCUAGGCAACACGUGCAUAGGGUGAGGGUGCCAAGCUGCCUCCGUCGAACCCAGGAAGGGCCGUGGAAGAGGAGCGUGGCACUGAAGAGCUGAGGGGUGUAUGUAUGUGCUGGUGUGAGCAAGGAAGGAUAUAAGAUUGACACACCUGCGCUGACCGACUGGGAUAUUGAUGGCAAGUGCUGAGAUGGGAAGCCUCAGCAGCACCAGGAGUCAUUGCUGCUCUCCUGUGCAUUCGUUUUAAAGGACGUCAGGUGUAGGACAUGAGAUGGGACCAAGAGAAGGCAGCAGUGGGGACCUACACUUCAGACCUCUUGUAGAAAGGGUGUGAGGGUGUUUCCAGGGUGACUGCUUAAUGGAAUGGUGCAGGAGUGUUCUGUGGGGCCAUGUAUGCUAGAGUGACCACUUAAAAGGUGUGUAAGGGUGAUUCUUGGCAUUGUAUUCUAGGAUGAUUGCUCAGAAAGAGUGUAAGAGUGUUUCCAUGUAAUGAUUCACUUGAUCAGGGUGAGGGUGAGCUGUGGGUGAUAAUGCAAGUGUGAUGGUAGUGUGAGGAGAUGAAUGUGGAGUGUUUGGGGAGAGAUUCACUUGUAAAGGAGGGCUGGACAACACACACUCGCCCUCAUUGGCUGUGGAAGAGUGUGGGAGUGUGUGGAGAGGUGUGGCCACCAGGGCAGGCUUGACACACAUCUGCUGUCCAUGCUGGGAGAGAGGCUGUAGUGGUGGUGGUGGUGAGGGAGAGGUGCCUGGAUCUGACAUGUGAUCUGCUGUCUUCAGACCACAGUUCAGGGUAAACCUUUUCCCUCAUUGCUGCCACUCAAAGUUUCUCUCACCAGUGUGGGUGAGCAUGUGUCCGUCAACAACACCUCGGUGGGCAGAGUUCUUCCCACACUCUUCACACCAUGCUUCUUCUCACCAGUGUGGACGAGUGUGUGUCUCUGUCUGUGCUGGGUGCCUCCACACCCACAGUUCGUGACGCCACGCUGGCCGAGGAGGUGCCAGAUCAAGACGUCUCUUCUGGGUAAACUUUUUUGGGUGAAAAAGUUCAAUGAGAAAGUUCCGUGCUGAUGUGCGUCUCCUCUACCGCCGUGGUGUGGCAGCAGUGGAGUGUGGUGGUGUGGUGCUCCAAUUUACUUAGUGAUAGACUCACUCUCACUAUUAUGAUGGGAAAAAACAUGUGGGUGAAGAGUGUGGGAAGAAAUCCGCCCACCGAGGUGUUGUUAACAAACACAUGCUCACCCACACUGGUGAGAGAAACUUUGAGUGACAGGAGUGUGAGGAAAGGUUUACCCGGAACGGUGCCCUGCUUGUCUGGUCCGGCCAGCAGCACACCCUCAAGACACAUUCACACUGGGCUUCGUGUUGUGCUGUGUGCUGCACUGCACCUAGAGUUUUAUUAUGUGGAAUGAGCAAGGCAACAUGCCACACAUCACAGUCAAGUCUGGACUGUGGGCAUUUGGUGACAUGCCGUGUUGUGCAGCAAGAUUCUGUAUUUCCACCUUCCUAUGACGAAUUCCUUCAAGAGGGAGGUUUCAAGACACUUAUCCACCAAUUUUUGACCACUGCUUUGACCCUUUUAGGGACUGGCAUUUCAGUGGGCAUUUUUUUUUAUUAGAUUUUUGUUGCCCUUGGCCAGUAUCCUUCCUACAUAAAAAAAAAAAAAAAAAAGAACGUGCCUUGAGAGGUGUGGGGCGGCCAGGCCUGUGUGGACUUAACUCGGUAGACUGCACUGGAGGCUAAGGGAGCAGUGCAGGGUGUCAUGAUAGUACUGACACAAUAACAGGCUGUUAUGGAAGACAAUAGGGUGUUCAAGACUUGUGGGGAUUCCUGUGGGUUUAACAGGUUCUAAUAGAAGUUAGUAACAUUUUCAAGGAUGAAGAUCAGCUAUCAUCCCCAUCCAUAAAUUAGUGUUAAAAAAAAAAGCUCCUUAAGGACUGCACUAACGAGUUCCUUCCUGGCACACCUGUCCUCACCUACACUAGUGAAAAAAGGUGUUGUAUUGUGUAUUGUAUGUUACUGCCUGGGCCUGGGAGAAGCAGUGAACUUAAAACUGGCUUGAGCAAAUGUGAACCUAUGAUAUAAUAAAAAGAUGAAAAUUA